GUGACUCGGAUAGAUUGCAUUGUGCCUCUACCAAGCUUGGACUCCCUGUCAGUCUGGAGGAAGAGACACUAGAACCAGAUUGGUUCGCCACCACUAAUUUUGACCACAUGCCUCUUCCUCCUGAGCUGACCUUCCCAUUCUCCUGGUGCUUCUGAGCAUCGUGGAGACGGUGGUGGGGCGAGAGACAAAACUGAGGACUUAAGCCCGGGCCACAGCAUCUCAAGUCACACCGAGGGACUGCUCUGAAGAGGAGACGUUUAUCCAGGUGCAAGCACUGCAGCAAAGGGUCCCAGGUCCCAGGUCCCAGGUCCCAGGUCCCAGCCUUAGGACUGUGUCUGAACACAUCAGCAAAUAAAAACCCACAAAAUAGCCAUUCUAUGUGUGGAUAAUUGAGAAUCGACCAUCAACCCAGAGGCAGAUAGGGGUGGCUUCAGUGGACCACAAUGAACCA